rnacentral:rRNA from 1 species
UACGUAGGGUCCAAGCGUUAAUCGGAAUUACUGGGCGUAAAGCGUGCGCAGGCGGUUGUGCAAGACCGAUGUGAAAUCCCCGAGCUUAACUUGGGAAUUGCAUUGGUGACUGCACGGCUAGAGUGUGUCAGAGGGGGGUAGAAUUCCACGUGUAGCAGUGAAAUGCGUAGAGAUGUGGAGGAAUACCGAUGGCGAAGGCAGCCCCCUGGGAUAACACUGACGCUCAUGCACGAAAGCGUGGGGAGCAAGCAGG